rnacentral:rRNA from 1 species
AGCGAACGCUGGCGGCAGGCCUAACACAUGCAAGUCGAACGAACCUUUCGGGGUUAGUGGCGGACGGGUGAGUAACACGUGGGAACGUGCCUUUAGGUUCGGAAUAACUCAGGGAAACUUGUGCUAAUACCGAAUGUGCCCUUCGGGGGAAAGAUUAAUCGCCUUUAGAGCGGCCCGCGUCUGAUUAGCUAGUUGGUUGAGGUAAUGGCUCACCAAGGCGACGAUCAGUAGCUGGUCUGAGAGGAUGAUCAGCCACAUUGGGACUGAGACACGGCCCAAACACAGACGGGAGGCAGCAGUGGGGAAUCUUUCGCAAUGGGCGAAAGCCUGAAGCAUCCAUGCCGCGUGAAUGAUGAAGGUCUUAGGAUUGUAAAAUUCUUUCACCGGGGACGAUAAUGACGGUACCCGGAGAAGAAGCCCCGGCUAACUUCGUG